rnacentral:SRP_RNA from 1 species
UCGUGCUAGGCGGGGCGCUAGGGGUGCCCUGUACCCGAAACCCUCUGUAUGCGGGGCUGAAUCCCCCGCCCGAGGGCUUCGCCUGUCGGGCCGAGCGCCGGGCACGUGGCGUUGAAGGCCGGGUCCUGCGCGGCGGGACGACCGUGAACCGGGUCAGGUCCGGAAGGAAGCAGCCCUAAGCGGACGGUCCCGGGUGCCGCAGGGGUGCCUGGCUCGAGCCGGCGACCCGGGACGCGCCGGGAGUCGCAGUUCGAAGGCGGGGUGCACGA